rnacentral:misc_RNA from 1 species
GAUGAAGAACGCAGCGAAAUGCGAUAAGUAAUGUGAAUUGCAGAAUUCAGUGAAUCAUCGAAUCUUUGAACGCACAUUGCGCCCCUUGGUAUUCCGAGGGGCAUGCCUAUUCGAGCGUCAUUAUCACCCCUCAAGCCUAGCUUGGUGUUGAGGCCUGCUGUCAAGGCAGCCUCUAAAAUCAGUGGCAGUGCUGUCAGGCUCUAAGCGUAGUAAAUCUAAUCGCUAUAGACACCUGGUGGACACUCGCCAGAACCCCCCCAUUUUUUAAUGAUUGACCUCGGAGUAGGUAGGGAUACCCGCUGAACUUAAGCAUAUCAAUAAGCGGAGGA